CUGAAUUGAUUAUCAAGCUCAAAAUGCAAAAAAAGAUGCUUGACAAGUAUCCAGUCCACAAUAUAGUAAGAAAAUAAUAUUCUCGGGAUUUACAGUGUUUCUUAAACAGUCAUCCUACUGCAAAAGGUACCCUAAUUAUAUAAACAUCACCAUAAAAUAACUCUAGACACAACAAGAGAACCAAAACCAUCCAUAAUGUUAGCGUAGCGAGUUAUUAAAUAGGUCUCUAAAUUAUGGCACUGGUUGAAGAAGAGUAUAUGUUUACUCGGUGCCUUGCAUAGGAACCAUCAUAUGCUGGACCUGCUAUUGAGAAUUUGCAUAAUUGACACCUUGUGAGAAAGAUCCUUGAUGAGAAAUCUGGACAUUUGGAUUCGGUUGAAAGUCCUUUUUAAAUGACGUUUCACCGCCCUUUGCUGAUCCCU
rnacentral:misc_RNA from 1 species